rnacentral:rRNA from 1 species
CGUAACAAGGUCUCCGUUGGUGAACCAGCGGAGGGAUCAUUACAGAGUUGCAAAACUCCCACAAACCAUCGCGAAUCUUACCCGUACGGUUGCCUCGGCGCUGGCGGUCCGGAAGGCCCUCGGGCCCCCGGAUCCUCGGGUCUCCCGCUCGCGGGAGGCUGCCCGCCGGAGUGCCGAAACCAAACUCUUGAUAUUUUAUGUCUCUCUGAGUAAACUUUUAAAUAAGUCAAAACUUUCAACAACGGAUCUCUUGGUUCUGGCAUCGAUGAAGAACGCAGCGAAAUGCGAUAAGUAAUGUGAAUUGCAGAAUUCAGUGAAUCAUCGAAUCUUUGAACGCACAUUGCGCUCGCCAGUAUUCUGGCGAGCAUGCCUGUUCGAGCGUCAUUUCAACCAUCAAGCUCUGCUUGCGUUGGGGAUCCGCGGCUGCCCGCGGUCCCUCAAAAACAGUGGCGGGCUCGCUAGUCACACCGAGCGUAGUAACUCUACAUCGUUCUGGUCGUGCGGCGGGUUCUUGCCGUAAAACCCCCCAAUUUCUAAGGUUGACCUCGGAUCAGGUAGGAAUGCCCGCUGAACUUAAGCAUAUCAAUAAGCGGAGGAA